UGCAGUCGACGCACUCGACCUUCGGGUCACAUGAGUGAGUGGCGAACGGGUGAGUAACACGUGAGGAACCUGCCCCGAAGACUGGAAUAACCCGAGGAAACUCGGGCUAAUACCGGAUGCCCCCAUCGGAUCGCAUGAUCCGGUGAGGAAAUGCUCCGGCGCUUCGGGAGGGUCUCACGGCCUAUCAGCUAGUUGGUGAGGUAACGGCUCACCAAGGCAACGACGGGUAGCUGGUCUGAGAGGACGAUCAGCCACACUGGGACUGAGACACGGCCCAGACUCCUACGGGAGGCAGCAGUGGGGAAUCUUGCGCAAUGGGCGAAAGCCUGACGCAGCCACGCCGCGUGAGGGAUGAAGGCUCUCGGGUUGUAAACCUCUUUCAGCAGGGACGAAAAUGACGGUACCUGCAGAAGAAGCUCCGGCCAACUACGUGCCAGCAGCCGCGGUAACACGUAGGGAGCGAGCGUUGUCCGGAUUUAUUGGGCGUAAAGAGCUCGUAGGCGGUUCGGUAAGUUAGGUGUGAAAGCUCGAGGCUCAACCUCGAGAAGCCACCUAAUACUGCUGUGACUUGAGUCCGGUAGAGGAGUGUGGAAUUCCUGGUGUAGCGGUGAAAUGCGCAGAUAUCAGGAGGAACACCUACAGCGAAGGCAGCACUCUGGGCCGGUACUGACGCUGAGGAGCGAAAGCGUGGGGAGCGAACAGGAUUAGAUACCCUGGUAGUCCACGCCGUAAACGUUGGGCACUAGGUGUGGGGUCGAAUUAACCGAUUCCGUGCCGUANCUAACGCAUUAAGUGCCCCGCCUGGGGAGUAC
rnacentral:rRNA from 1 species